rnacentral:rRNA from 1 species
CCUGGUUGAUCCUGCCAGUAGCAUAUGCUGUCUCAAAGAUUAAGCCAUGCACAGUGUAAGUAACACACGGCGUACAGUGAAACUGCGAAUGGCUCAUUAAAUCAGUUAUGGUUCCUUUGUCGCUCCAUCUGUUACUUGGAUAACGUGGUAAAUUCUAGAGCUAUACAUGCGACGAGCGCUGACUCCCGGAUGCGUGCAUUUAUCAGACCAAGACCCAAUCGGCUCGCCGGCCGCCUUUGGACUCGAGAAACCUCGGCGAUCGCACGUCCCCGGCGCGACGAUGCAUUCGGAUGUCUGCCCUAUCAACUUUCGAUGAAACUUUCUGUGCCUAACCAUGGUGACCAGGAACGGGAAUCAGGGUUCGAUUCCGGAGAGGAGCCUGAGAAACGGCUACCACAUCAAGAAGGCCACAGGCGCGCAAAUUACCCACUCACAGGACUCGGGGACUAGUGACGAAAAAUACAUACAGGACUCUUUCAGGACCCGUAAUUCGGAAUGAGUACAACUUAAAAUCCUUUAACGAGGAUCCAUGGAGGGCAAGUCUGUGCCACAGCCCGAGGUAAAUUCCAGCUCCAAUAGCGUAUAUUAAAGUUGCUGCAGUUAAAAAGCUCGUAGUUGGAUCUGGGAUCAGCGCGGCCGCCCCGCGAGGCGAGCUACCGCCUGUCCCAGCCCUGCUCUCGGCGCCCCCUUGAUGCUCUUGACUGAGUGUCCUGGGGGUCCGAAGCGUUACUUUGAAAAAAUUAGAAGUGUUCAAAGCAGGCCGGCGCCUGAAUACUCAGCUAGAAUAAUGAAUAGGACUCCGGUUCUAUUUUGUUGGUUUUCGAACUGGGCCAUCAUUAAGAGGGACGGCCGGGGCAUUCGUAUUGUGGCCGCUAGAGGUGAAUUCUGACCGCGCAGACGAACCAAAGCGAAGCAUUGCCCAAGAAUGUUUUCUAAUCAAGAACGAGUCGGAGUUCGAAGACGAUCAGAUACCGUCGUAGUUCGACCAUAAACGAUCGACUAACGAUCCGCGGCGUUAUUCCAUGACCCGCCAAAGCAGCUUCCGGGAAACCAAAAUCUUUGGGUACCGGGGGAGUAUGCGUGCAAGCUGAAAACUUAAAAGAAUUGACGGAAGGGCACCACCGGAGUGGAGCCUGCGCUUUAUUUGACUCCACGGACAAACACCCGGCCCGGACACGGAAAGAUUGACAGAUUGAUAGCUCUUUCUCGAUCUGUGCGGUGGUGCAUGCCGUCUUAGUUGUGGAGCGAUUUGUCUGGUUAAUUCCGAUAACGAACGAAGACUCCUCCAUGCUAACUAGUUACGCGACCCCCAGCGGUCGGCGUCCAACUUCUUAGAGGAGACAGAGUGGCGUUCAGCCACACGAGAUCGAGCAAUAACAGGUCUGUGAUGCCCCUUAGAUGUCGCGGGGCUGCACGCGCAGCUACACUGAACGGAUCAGCGUGUGUCUACCCUUCGCCGACAGGUGCGGGUAACCCGCUGAACCCCGUUCAGUGAAUAGGGAUUGGGGAUUGCAAUUAUUUCCCAUGAACGAGGAAUUCCCAGUAAGUGCGCGGUCAUAAGCUCGCGUUGAUUAAGUCCCUGCCUUUGUACACACCGCCCUCGCUACUUACGAUUGAUGGUUUAGUGAGGUCCUCGGAUCGCCCGCCGGGGUCGGCAACGCCCUGGCGGAGCGCCGAGAAGACGAUCAAACUUGACUAUCUAAGAGGAAGUAAAAGUACGUACCAAGGUUUCCGUAGUUGAACCUGCGGGAA